AUAAACAAUUAACCAUUAGUAUAUAGAUUUUAGAACCAAUUAAAAAGAACAAAAGAAGAGAAAAAAAAGAAAAAAGAAAUAGGAACUAUACCAAUGGUAAUAUACUUUCUCUAUUCAAUUAAAGCUAUUCUUGUCACCCCUUUCCAUUACACUUUUGUCAUAAGAUUCUAUGAGGAGUAAAAAGUCAUCUUUAUAAACUUCCUUCACCAUCUCUAAUUUGCUGCAAGAAAAAAAGAGAGAAUGUAG
rnacentral:lncRNA from 1 species